ensembl:lncRNA
ACACAUAAUGAUCACAUUCUCAAACUCCUGUCGGAGAACAAUGUUUUAUUCUGUUUACGAGAUUCUACUGUGAGAACAUUCCCACACAUUUCAAGUGCCCUCUCUUAUUAGAAGGACUGGGAAACGUCACAGUAUAUACUGUAAGUACAUUUCUGCACCUAACUGCAUUUCUUUUAAGACAGACACUUCCUAAAAAUAGCCUGUGGGGGGGAAUAUAAAACGCGACGUCAGCUACUUCUGUUUGCCACCCAUCUGCACAUAUAUACAAAUUAUAAAUUGCGCUUGGAGAGCAUAUGGAAAAAAAACACAUGCUGUCUCAGCAAAGGGACUUUCCAGUUGUUUCCCCCAGUGUUCCAGGGAUAGGAGCUUCACAGGCAACCUGCCUCAUUCCUCUUCACUCUCCCUGUGCUGAAUUAGUGCGAAGCCUCAUUAGCUUCAGAGAGACGAUAAUGAGCUUAUUAUAGUGAUGGAGUCCCAGAGUCAAGGUGGGUGAGAUUUCACCGGAGGUUACUCCUCUCCCGUUCCAAGGAUAUUUGCUUUGGCACGUGACAGAUGGGGGGGGGGGGCCUUGUCACGCAGCUGAGGAGCCAGUCAGGAGUGAUGGGAAAUGGGCUUUGAGUCGGAGGAGGAUGUGAUAGUGCCGUUCUUGGUGUACAAAAUGACGUCGCCGAGUUGAAUGUCGGCAAAGGCAGCUUGUUUUGAGAGCUGCUCCGAUGCUGUUUUGCAUAAUACAGAACUGAUGUUGAUAGCUCACUGCAGUGCACAGCUGGGAGUCCUUCCCCAUUCUGAAAACAUGUCUGUCUGUCAAGCGAAACAUUUUAGAAACACUCACACACACAGGCACGCACACAAACACGAAUCCCCCAAGGGACACCCUGAAAGCAGUUUUGAAACACACCAAGUCUCCCACCAAGUGCAGGAUUUACUGCCCCAACACAAACACAGCGGCCAAACGUCCCACGCUAAAAGUGAAGAGUUACGCAGGGCUCCCUCCUUCCUUGGAACAGAUCCUGUCACUCGGAAACGAGAUGCAGGAAAGUUCCACUGGGGCCAUGCGCCCUUCUGUGUCGCCAUGGGAACCGCAGCCGGUAACCGAUGGUGCGACUUCCCCCUUUCCCAGGAGAUUGUGUAACCCGGUCUAACAUGCGGGACAGUGCCCUCUCCCCGCACUCUGCUAUGUGCUGGGAUGGGGGGGUCAUAAGGGGUCUUGUUUAUUUUACUAGUUAAGGCAAAGGUCUGUUAUUGGGCUGACAGGCCGUUUGUUAUACCGCUGAGCCGGGAUGUCGAGAGGAGAGGAGAGGAGAGUCACAAAGCCCCAGCUGUACUGGGGCUAAAUGGAUUGCUUUAUUGUGAUUCUCUCGUUCCCACUCAGACAUGCCCCCUCAGCUCCCCCCCCCCCCAUGUCACAAACAAGCUCCAGAUGGACAGAUAGAGUUUUUAUUUGGAAUCGAUGUCACAUCUCCUCGGGGUGUAUUUGCUCUCCAUAUGAUCUUCAUACAAACCUGUCAAAAUAGACUUUGUUGUCGUAUAAUACGGUUUCAAAGGGAGGGGGUGUCCAUGGAGGUGCUGCGCCCCCCCCCCCCCCCCCCUCCUCCACUCGAAGCAUGGCCUACAGCUGUAAUGUGAUCUGGGGUCAUGUCAGGUCGCGUUUGCCAUCUGUGACUGAGGACUCGGGCAAAGGCAGGCCGUCGUGUUGGGUUAGAUGAUCAACAUCCCAUCAUGUCAAGUAGCAAAACUCUUUCACCCAAAGCUGCAGUGAUCCAUUCAGAAUCCAUUCUUCAUUCCUGAUAAUGGAAUCUAAAGCACAAAGUUACAGAUGUUAAUAUGUUUCAAGUCACAAUUCACUUCACAAUGUUUUAAAAGGAAGGUCUAUCACUGAGGAAGACUACAUAAUUGUGGAUUCUGGGGAAGAACGAAACAAAUAUUGUAGUAAGACGCUUCUUAGUCAAUGCCAGCUGUACAAAGACUGUCAAUAGCUGUAGUACAACCUACGUGUGUGUGUGUAUAUGUGUGGUCAGUACACACAGUAUGUGAGUAUUUUGUUUGAAGCUUAGUGGGCUCAAGCUGGUCUGGCUAUUUCACAACUGCAUCUGUUCAAAACGUGCAUACACAUUUUCUCUGUCAGACGUUAUGCGAUUUGGAGCUUGUGUGAAUAGAUUUGAAAUCAAUAUAUCUGAAACCAGUGGUGUAGUGGGAAUGAGAGGGGGAACGCUAUUUUAAUGAUGUCAUCAUCACAAAGAAUGCCAAGCACCUGCACAUACACACACUCACACACACACACACACACACAAAAAAAGCAGACUUAAAAUAAUGGCCAGAUACACAAACUACUACUACUUAUGCUUACUACUGUAUUCCAAAAACUAACAUUCAACAAUAUUCACAGUAUGUGCAGCACUGCGUCAUUCAUUACCCCACACAAAUCAUGCCAAUUCAUUAACAGCGGACUGCACUGAAAUUCGCAUACGAAUUCACAUCAAACGCAUACAGUGAAGUAUGAAGAAUUACAGCCCAGAGUAGCUCGAAGUUGGAGGGGGGGUCAUAUCAUUGCCAUUGCUUAUUAUUCAGCAUCACUGACAUUGGUUUUUCUGUAACGUUACCUGUCAGUUCGAUUAUAGAUAAUGCAAAGUUUGACUUUUAGUUAGUAGGCUAAUCCAUAAAACCCACCAAUCACAGCAGGCAGCACAGCCUCGACAGGAAUCACCACUGUUACUCACUUUUAGUAUUUUGAUUUUGACCACAAGACUUCCUGCUUCAAAACAGAGAAAUACUGAUGUGUAUGGCCAUAGCAUUAGCACUGACACCAGAGAAAUACUGAUCUUUUUUCUAGCUUAGCUGUAACUGACAUUAUCUUUAUGAAAAUAAAAAAUCUAUACUUUUCUGGGGACAUUUUAACCACAGUGUCGGAUUAAGACAGAGCGAGGAUGAGCUGCAGCAAUAGCCUGUUGUUGUGAGUCUUUUUUUUCUACAUACAGGCUACAUGAGCCAGCAGAGUGUCAGAGCGUGAUGAUGACAAUCAACCUGUAACAUCUUUUUUGGGGGAAAUUGGGCUGGGACUACUUGAUGUGUGCACUUUUGGGAAUAAUGCAGAUUUAAUAUACAAAAUUGUAAAAAAAAAAUAUAUAUAUUAAAAAAGAAUACAUAAAAUAAAGCUUGAAGAAGUGGGUGAAAACGUGUCUGAAACGUGGGUCCAGUGCUGCACCAGAGACUCUGUGUGUACUCUGUGCCCCCUGUGUGUACAUGCCACUGUAAUAUGCUAUGCAGGAACUCCUAGGACUACAGUUCAAGAUUACAACUGAAAGUUGAGAGGUUCAAUUACAAAGAGUAUCAAACUGGAUAAAAGAAAAAUGUAGGUCCAUGCGAAUUGCAUUACCAUAGUGUGCCAUACAGAACUAUAACUAUCGAACAGAUGAUGUAGUGAGCCCCAUAGCAAAUAGCAACGCAGAAUGUCAUGGCGUUUCAAUGAUUGUGAUUACUAACUCAAAUGGUCAUUUUAGGCCGCAAGGUGAACCACGAAAAGUCCUUUAGAAAUCGAAUCCCGCUCCACAGGCGUGCAUCUACACAAUAUUUAGUUCAUAAAAAACAAAGAGUCGUGCUUAGCUACCAAAAAAAAGUUUGUCGCUGACUUUCCAGUCAAUUUUUGGUGCGUCUAUGUUUUAUGCCGAACUAGUUUCUUCAGAGCGCACAAGGAUCUUGGUCGCGAGUGCCGGCACGUUUCGACACGUGAUAAUGCUACACCAAUAAGGUAGCUGCUUUUUGUCAACAGAGUUGCAAGAUGGCGUCCACCAUGCCUUCAUCGAGCAAUACGGAAGACGAAGAAAAUACAUCGGAAUGUCUUAAUAAAUCAAAAAACAAACAUUGUUUUAUGCAUAUUACUUCAGUCAAGCACGAAGAGGUACAUUAUUUCACCACUACACGAUGGAAUACAUACAGGACAAGCCUACAAACGUGGCUCGGCUCUGGAGGUGCAGUACCACAAAGGCUGUUAUAAUCAGUACACCAGGUUUUUGACGAGGCCUGAAAAACCAGAGAAAGAACAGUAAGUUAUUUAUUAAAUUGCAUUUCAAGGAGCUACUAACUUAACAUUAUAUAAGUAAACAUUCAAUCUGCAUUCUGUUGUAUGUGCACACAAUCACAACCCUUAUUCAUUUCUUUCCUUCUCAUUUAUAUGUGUUCUAGGAAUGAGCCCACGUUUGAUGUCAGCUAUAAGUUAUUCUGUGAGAGGAUCAUUCACCAAAGGCCAAAGGUCAACCAAGAGGUGCAGAGAAUGGGCCAGCUGAGGAAGGCCUUCAUUGAACUGGUGAAAGCAAAUGAAGGUCUUGAUGCUUCAAACUACAGACAGGAUAUGUUGAAGAAGAGGCUGACUCGUGAUUUCCCCCAUCAGUAUCAAAAACCUAGAACGGUCAUGUAUAGAGCUGAUGCAGGGUCACAACGCAUGCAAAUCUUUGGCCCGGAUCAGAGGACCCCAACCCAAUGGAAAAAGUUUCUCUCAGAAGGAACAAAUAAGGAAGCACUUGCCGAAUUCCUGUAUGUUGUAUGGAAAAAUGCAGACCUUACAAUAGUGGGCAAAAACCUCUGCUUGCACAUACAAAUCAAUGUCACUGUGUGACUGUUAAGGAGGCUGUACAGUGUUGUUGAAGACCCGCAGUGUGAUCAUGAAGAAUGUGACACAAGGGUGUUUUUACAUGCACAACAUGCUGCACGGGAGCAUAAAGCUGUCAAGAGCUCUGACACUGAUGUGGCAGUCAUUGCUGUAAGUGUGCAGACAGAUUUGCCAUGCAGUUUAUAUGUUUUCACAGGGACUGGCAAAAGGACACGUAUCAUUUACAUUACCAAGGUGUCAUCAGCUCUCGGAACCAGUGUGUGUUCAGCCUUGAUCGGAAUUCACACAUACUCUGGGUGUGACUCCACAAGUGCCUUUUAUGGAAAAGGAAAAAGAAAGACAUUUUCUGUUGCAUGUGAGAAAGAUGAGUACCUAAAGGCUUUUACAAGUUUAGGUACUAACUUUAACUUGGAGCAGUCAACAUUUGCACUUCUUUGCCAGUAUGUAUGCCACUUAUAUGACCAGCUGCCGAUAAUGUAAAUGAAGCUAGGUACAAGGCCUUCUGUAUAGCAUCAUCAGCCUUGCCAGAAUUAUGCAUUCCCCCUACUGCUGAUGCCCUCCAUCAGCAUUGCAAAAGGGGAAACUACUAGGCUGCAAUAAUGAGGUCCUGUCUCAAACAAAAUAUAAGUGCUCCAUCACCUGCUGGAUAUGGUUGGCAAAUAGAGGAUGGGACUUUGCACAUCACCUGGAUGACCAGAAACCCUGCCCCUGACUGCGGCUGCAAAGGUGCCUGUGAGACAGGCAGAUGUUCCUGUUUUUCUGCAGGAUUGUGUUGCACAGACUUAUGUCGUUGCUGUAAUUGUGCCAACACAAAAGAAACUGAGGAACUGGAAGAUAACUGUCCUGACACUGACAGUGAGGACUGAGUGUCCUUAAUCUGUUAUUUCUUAUUUAGUUUUGUACAGUUUUAUAUAUCAUAUUUCAUAUUUUUCAUAAAGAUUGUUUUUAUGGUUCAUCAGUGUUGUUUUCAUUUGUGAAUGAAUGAAUGAAUGAACGAACGAACAAAUGGUCAUUGGUAUAAGUACAAUUACUGCCUUUUAUUGAUACAAGGAAGGAGGUUUUUUUGUCACAUACAUAGAAAUACUUACGUAAAGCAUGUAGUGAAAUUUCGUUUGGUGUUAAGCUUUUUCUGUGCGAGUGUGAAGAAAGAAAGAUCAAGAAAUGUUUUUCAUAAAUAGCAAGAGGGAGUAUAAAGUGCAGUGUGUGUACAGUCCAUGCUGUUUAUAUUGUCAUUGUGUGUGUUCAGGAUACGGAAUGCUUGAGGAAAGAAGCUCCUUCUCAGUCUCUCUGUUCUGGUCUUGUAGCAGCAGAGACGUUUGCCUGACCUCAGUGUUUAGAAAAGUCCAUGGUCAGGAUGUUAGGAGUCUUUUACAAUACUUUGGGCCCUGGUACGUAGUCUUCUCUUGUAGGUCUGUAGGGAGAGGUGCUCUGAUGAUGCGGUACUGCUGUCACAGGCUGUACAGUUCCCAUAUCAAGUGAUGAUGCUGUCAGGACACACAGCUGAUGGGUGCUGAUGCUCUGAACUUCCUCAGCUGACGUAGGAAGUACAGUCUUUGCCUUGAUUUCUUCAGUGUGUGCUGGGUGUUCACAGUCCAUGUUAGAUCGUCAGUAAGGUGUAUUCCCAGGUAUGUCAAACUUGAUCUAAAUGACUUAACAUAAGCAUAACAUUAUCGUAUAUUUGCCUCAUUGUUCUUAUGGGACGCGGCUAUGUAUACAGCACUAUUUAGAAUCCAUUUAGCCCACUUUUGAGGAUGUUCGGGUGUUUUCCUCUUUAUCGGUAACGUUGAAUCUAACCAUGGGAGCCGCCAUCUUGCCAUUCUGUUGACAAAAAGCAGCUACCUCAUUGGUGUAGAACGAUCACGUGUCGAAAAGUGCCAGCACUCGCGACCAAGAUCCUUGUGCGCUGUGAAGAAACU